AUUUGGUGCCCUCUUCUGGCCUGCAGG
rnacentral:piRNA from 1 species